UACGUAGGGUGCAAGCGUUGUCCGGAAUUAUUGGGCGUAAAGAGCUCGUAGGCGGUUUGUCGCGUCUGCUGUGAAAACUCAGGGCUUAACCCUGAGCCUGCAGUGGGUACGGGCAGACUAGAGUGUGGUAGGGGAGAUCGGAAUUCCUGGUGUAGCGGUUGGAAUGCGCAGAUAUCAGGAGGAACACCGGUGGCGAAGGCGGAUCUCUGGGCCAUAACUGACGCUGGAGGAGCGAAAGCAUGGGGAGCGAACAGG
rnacentral:rRNA from 1 species